AUGACAUGUCAUCCCAACAUUGCCGCUGUGGGCUGUUAAUCAGAUGGCAACCCGCUUGAAUCCACGUAUAUGAACAGAAGAGAUUACAUUGGACACAACAGUCGGCCAUUUUAUAAGAUGUGUGCAGUACUUUUACAGGUCCUGUUCGCUGAGUGAGAGUCUAAUUAUGCAGCACAACCGUGUGAUUAUAGUAUAAUCACACAGUCUAACAGGUUGUUCACUUCUGACUGGUCGUUGAUUUUGAAGCAUUUUUAGUUCCGUGCCUACUGAAAACAGCCCAGACUCCUUUGUGAAAAGCAAGACGUACAGAAAAUAACAGACUCCGGUUUAAAAGGAUUCAUCAAAUCAGUUUUAUUUUUCUUUAAGGGGUGUCUGAUUUCACAAGUUCCAACAAAAUAAUUCCUCUCAAAUAAUGCUUAGGUUAUUUAAUUUAUGAGCCCAUUCUCUUUUCAGAUAAGAAAUUCCUCAAGAAGGGCACACUACAAACCAAAACAAUGUAUAUAUGUAUAUAUCAAAUCAGAUAUAUAAAUAUAUAUGAAAGAAAAUCUGAUUAUGUUAUCAAAAAUAACAGGAGGCAGGGAGUGUUGAAGGUUGUGAAGAAGCUGCAUUUAUAGUAAAUGACAAAGCCCAGAGAUAACAUGGAGACAGACUAGUAGGACGACAGUCCCUUUCAGGAUAGAAUACGUUAACAUACACUGUGUAAUGACAGAGAGACAGAGACAGCGGUCUGAAUCCAAAAACAACAAAGCACAGCAAACAAAUUCUAAACUUCAGUAUAGUAUAAAAAUGUAACCAAAUUGUGACAAUUGUAGAGAGAAACACACCAGAAGACCCCUGAAGGAGUGGACACACAUUUUGCCUUAAAAAAAAGAAGAUACAAGUAUGGGGACUCCAUACACAGGAUCCAUACACAGUGCUGUUCUAAUGGGAGAAUGGAGGUAUGCAAUGCAAUGGAUAAAACCUGGCACGUCCUUGUCUGAUAACGCCCCAAGGGUUUGCUUUUGUUUUUGACCUCAGAAGAAAUACAGCCACAACCUGUAAACACUGCCUGCCAGCUCUAGGUGAAUACACCAAGCUUUGAGGGUAUCACAAACAGAUCUCUCCAAGGCACUGGAUACCAAUUUAGAUCACUAUAUCCAGGGCCUGUUUUUUUUUUAUCUUUAAUUUAUCCAUCUGGAUUUUGGCUGCCGGACUGAAUGAAGUGCAUCAGAAUAGAGUAAACACAACAGGAGUCCCCAUUCAAGUCAAUUUGUCUGUUAUAUAUUUUUUUCUAUUUCUAUGCAUGUAGUCCUAUCUGAAAGGCAAACUCCAAUGGAUUGUCCCAAAACUUCUAAUAAAUCUGGACAACACAUAAUUUGCCCCAAGUCCUAAUUCAAUCUAGUGUAAUUGUAAUUUUUUCACGAUUGUUGAUUUACAUUUUUAUCAUGAACGUCAUUGGCCCAGUUAAUGACAUUUUAUUAGCUUUUUGUUUUUACAACUCGAUUUCAGUCUUCAUUUAAAUCCACUGGCUUCCAGUCAGAGAGCCACACCCUUGACCCCCUCCGCCCAGACCCUUGAGAGUCCCUUGAUAAAAGGGACUGGCCCUGUAUGGAUAUGUGUCAAAUCAAAGCAGCGAAAGUCUGUCUUUAGUUAGCCCAAGAUGGUAAGCCCUCACUGAGGUAUGAGUGGUGGACAUCCCCCCCAAAGAGGACCAGGCUGGAGGAAGGACAAAGAUGACAACGUGAGAUGGGAUGGAUGACAAGGGUCACAUACCCAGGGAAUGGGAGGAGAUCUACAGUUGAUUUGUGCUACAACGGUGACUAGAUUAAGAUUAACAGCUAUUUCUUGUCAAGGAUUCUAUGAUUUACAUGGUUGACUAAAGUGCCUGACAAUCUUUGGUCUACCAACCCUACAGGUUGCAAUACCGCAAGCCAUGUCAGAAUGCAUUUGGAAGAAAGCAAAGAAGAAAAUCAAAAACAGCAAAAGCAGAAAAACAGCACACCAUUCCAGGUAUUUUCAUAUCUCAAAAUUCAUUGUUUUCAUAACUCUUUUUUUCACUCACAGUCUCACCAUUUUAAAAUAAAUCUCUAAGUUAUACAGAUAUAAUGUUAAGAUCUUCACCAAACCCUGAGCAAAGAGAGAAACCUCUGAGGCCAAACAAGACUUCAUUACAGAAAAUAAAAACGUCAUCUUUCCGGUAUGAGAACUGAUGUAAAAAUGAUUUUUCUGGAUAUGUUUUAAACAUGCUAACCCUUAAACCCUGUGAACAAGAAAAUUCAGGCUCUGGAUUGGAUGUUAGGUCAGGGCAGGGUAAGUGUCAGUGUAUCAGAAUACUUGUUCUAUAAUGUGACUCGUUACACAAGUAAACAUUUCAAAUUCCUAUAGCCGUGAGUCUCUCUCACCGUAUCAGGCCACACAACAUCUGUCAAGGGCUUAAAUGUCAAAUCAAUAAAAUAAAAACAGAACAUUUUUAAGAUCAGUGAAAAACAUCUCUAAAAUGUUAAAGUCACCAGUGUGCUAAACUGAACAUUUUUACAGUGGGCUAUCAGAAAGUAUUUGGGUACCGGGUAAAAAAAAUAAAAAUAAAAGUAUAAUGAAAAGGUCAACAAAACAAAUGUGUUUUUGCCACAGCCUUUGUUUGUUUGGUUGACCAUUGCUUUUCUAUUAAAUCUGGCGCACAGUAAGUUUGAGUGUAUGUGUAUUCUAUUUGGACUGUUAAAGUUAACAGGUAAAAUAAUGCAUUAGCGCAAGCAAAACAAAAUGUAUAUCGCUUAAACAUCCACUAUGGGCACAGCCUUGAGCAACAUUUUUCCAAGGUGUUGGUUUAGAAAACAAACAAAAACACAAGUUGUAGCCAACAGAAGCUAACAACUUAUGUUAAAGUUAGGUGGCUAACCAAAAUAACCUUUACAAUGCAUCUUGAUUCUCCUCUAACUUCAAGCAAUUAUUUUAAAUCAGAACAGGACAACCAUUCCAUUUAAAAUGUUUGCUGUAAUUGUCCGGUAGAAAAUGUUAAGCAAAUUAUCCUAACCCCAAAGACAUCAAUAUAACAACAUGUAGAAUUUUGACCAUUGUUCUAAUUCUAGACUUAAAUAUUACACGUGUAAUGUUAUUGGGAAGCUAACAUAGCUGCCAUAGAAUGUUUUACUGUUAUGUAAAUGCAUCUUAACACAGAUACUGCAUUGGCAAACUGCUUUACAUCUAUGUGACAAAUUCUUUAAACAUUAAACCUGGCUCCUUUGAUGAUGGCAAUUCCUCCAGGCCCGGAGACAGCAAAGAAUCCCACUAACACUGUUACAACUUGACAUCUGUGCCAAAGACGUGGUGUUGAAAUAGUUGUAACACACCACCAGGCCGUGUCUUACUACGGAAUAAGGUUUUUGGUUUCCGCCAGACCAAAUGUCAACCACGUUGUUCGAAACGUUCACAAAGAUUGUAAUAAUUCACCUGGAAGCACCUGUCAAGAGUUCUUAAUGAUCUAUGGACUGAUGAUUCAAAGGGGGUUUUAAAAAAAUCAUAUGUUUAGUCCUGUUAUACCAUUCAAAAACCAAACCAAAAACCACAAUAAGAAUGUUACAUCAACAGUCCAACUUGGUGGUGGCUGCAGUGUGAUGAUUCGGUUUUAAUGCCCACAAACUUAUUCAACAUAAACAAAAAACUAAAUCAGGACACGGUCCUAAAGUCAAAAUGUUGCCCUUCCCUGAUUUGGUGAAAGAGGUAAAGAGCGGUGAGACGGCACAGCUCAAUCCAUCUGUAUCAAUGUGCCUCUUCUCGUUUCUUUUGUCUGUCCGUCUGAGGGCCAGACUCACCAUCAGCCCAGUGACACGCCUGAAGGCCAGACUCACCAUCAGCCCAGUGACACGCCUGAAGGCCAGACUCACCAUCAGCCCAGUGACACGCCUGAAGGCCAGACUCACCAUCAGCCCAGUGACACGCCUGAAGGCCAGACUCACCAUCAGCCCAGUGACACGCCUGAAGGCCAGACUCACCAUCAGCCCAGUGACACGCCUGAAGGCCAGACUCACCAUCAGCCCAGUGACAGGCCUGAAGGCCAGACUCACAAUCAGCCCAGUGACACGCCUGAAGGCCAGACUCACCAUCAGCCCAGUGACACGCCUGAAGGCCAAACUCACCAUCAGCCCAGUGACACGGGUGAAGGCCCAGAAUCACCAUUUGUACACGAGGAUUCAAUCUGAAAUGGCACUCCAUCACAGCCUUGGAGUCUGGGCCAAACCAUUCCAACAGUCCUAUCAUUUAGAAGCAGCAGUGAUCAGCUUCCCAACUGUACCCCAGAAUUCUUUGCUCUCCUACUCAAGCACUUACAGAACAAGCUGUCGGUCAGCCAAAACUACAGAGCACUUAACAUUUUCACAGAGCUGCCCCCCCUAUGAAAAGCCAUUAGCCCAGUUUGGCGCUGGACGUGAGGAGAGCAGAGGCGUGCCAAUGCAACCUAACAAUCAGACAAAACAUCUCAGGAUAGGGCAACACUGACAUUACUGACACCAAUGUGCAGAGAUCAGGGGUCUGUGCAUAGAUCAACAGUGCUGGGUGUGCCAAAUAUAACGCAUCCUGACUAGGGCCUUAUUAAGACUUCAACACGUUUACCUAAAAUCGUUAGGAUUUACUGAAACUAAAAUGUAGUCUGUGAAGGUAGGUUUUAAGCAAACAUGUAGCCCCCCGCCACAAACACACCUCCAUUCUCAAAGGGUUCCAAUAGGCCAAGGGCAGCCUUCUUAAAUCUGGUCAGAGUUAAAACUAUAAUAAUCCGCUGAUGAGUGUGUGUGUGUGAGAGAGAGAUAUAAAUGUAAAUCUCAAGUGAAGUUUGAUGGCUUCAGAUGCUUUCAAAGUGCUAACUGACUCUACAGAUGUUUGCUAUCAUCAAGGUUGUCAUCAUAAAAAACUAGAGUUCACAUGGUAAUGAAUUCUCUAAAAACAUACUUAGUUAUUAUUCUGUAUUUACAGCCCUAUGAUUGGUGCUCCAUGCUAGCAGCGCUUAAUGCCAAAAAAAGGCAUCCGUUCCUCAUUGUCACUAUGAACAAAUGCCAUGGAUGGGCACUCUGGCUAAAAUCACCAGCACUUCAAUUUACCAGUAAAUUAGUAAUAAUUAUCUACACAUUAAAAUAAUUUAAUUUAUACAGAAUUAUUGCCCUCAUAGUUGAAGGCUAGUACUAUUUCGAAGACACCAUAAAACUAUGGGAACGUACUCGAGGCCAUAUGGGUUUUGUGGCCAAUAUGUUUAAUAUAUCUAAAAACUGUGCAUUGUAUGAUGGGCUGUUUCCACCCAAGUUGGGGGAAAACUCAAGUCAUCCCCACAACUGGCAAACACGAGGGAACAUAGAAUAUAUUGAGUGUUGCCACCACCAAGCCUCGAUCCUUCUACUGGAAAAUGUUCUGUUUGAAAACAGAGUAUAUUGUUGGAGCAGGGCCGCAUGCAGUUGUGUAGUCAUCCUGCUCCGGCGUCAUGCUGGGAACUUCACCCAUUGUUUUCAUAUCUAAACAUCAUGUUCAUCUCUGCUACAUGGGCUUUUACAUUGUCCUCGCUGUUUUUAACCCAACCCAUUUUAUUGCUCUAACUGGCGCCUCGCAGGCGGUCCCUGGUGGGCACCACGUGACCAUAAAGGGGUGCCCAGUGGGCCACCCCCACUUCCUCCCCUGACUGCUAAUGCCAGAGGGCUGCAUUGACCUAAAUGAGACACCCUCCAGACUCCUUCUGCUGGAGGGCAGCACUGACCUAAAACAAGUAGCCCCCCACACCACAAACUUGACCUUGAGUGACAGUAAUGUCUGCCCUCAUUAAAAGCAGCUUCAGCUGUCACUGUGGCAACCAAGCCAAAGCGGUUACUAACCCACCAAUCCAGUUCCUUCUAAUGCCAUUGCAUCGCUCCCAGUGAAGUCCUGUGUGUGUAAACAUACAGACUAAGCUUUUGCUAAGAUGCUCCCUUGAAGCAGGGAGGACAGAGCGAAUAAUAUACAGAGGCUCCUCCCACAUUGCUGGUGAGUAGUGGAGCUUGUGAUGCCACGGGCCAUGAGUGACACUGAGGGGUGGAGCUUAGACACUUACUGUAAACGGACAUGGCAGGGCAGCAGUGCCGCACACAGAACUCUGUUGGGCCGUAAAAGACAAACCAGGAAGACAGGAUUGGCCGGCGGCGGUAGCCACAGAGACAACAAAUGAGAAGACGGGACAAUGGAGUUUGGACUAAGGUGGGUAAAGGGAGGGGGGGGGAGUCCCACAAUCAAAUCACAUUAAAUGGGUUUUUGUGUAGCAUUGCUGGUGCAAAGAGCUUGUUGCAUUUCUCAUGUAAUCUCUCCUUCAAAUUUGACCGAGGCAUCACCACACCUACUGCACAGUUGCUUUUGGACACCCCACCCUAGUCCUCCACCCCUUGUCCCACCAUCCAGCCUUGUCCCACUGGGUUUGUAUUCCUCCAUCACAGUCCAGUCUAAAGAUGGGGCCUGGGCUGGGUGGACAAAGGCUUCAGAAAAUGGGAAUGGUCAGAAAAUGACACAAAUAAAAUCAUAAUCAACAACAAAUAGAACAAAUCAACCAGUUUUACAGACAUAUUUGUCUAUACUGUAACAGGUCUUCCAAUCAGCAGAAAUACUAGUGAGGGGGGGGGCAUGACCAGGUGACUGUCACAGAACUGGACAGGUCACAUGAACAAAUACGGAGUGCUCACAUCAAGUGUCUUGGUGUGAAAUGUAAAUGUGUUUUUCUGCACAUCCCAAGCGCCCCGCAACCAAGCCCCCCC
ensembl:lncRNA